UAGGAUAUAGUGUAAUUAGGUAGCA
rnacentral:tRNA from 1 species